UUUUCUAAUCUUUAGAUCAGAACUGUCUCCACUGAUAGCCUAUCAAGGGUCAGUGAGAGACUUGUCCCUUUGCUGGUUUUCCUGGUAACUGAGGAACCAACCUGACGUCAAUUCCCCUUAUAACUGAGACGCUAUCUCAGUAAUGAGGGUAAAUAGAGAAGAGGUUCCUUGGUGGUGGAUGACAGUGAAGACCAAGUCACCAUAUUGCUUCUACUCCUGAGAUGAAGAGACAGCAAAAAUUCAGCAUUUGAAUUUCAGUCAUGCUCUACAUCCUGAGGGAAAAACAAUUCAUGUUUUGGGGAAAUUAGCUGUUAAUUAAAAUGUUAUUUUAAAGAUAUUAAUCAUUUGUGAGUAUUCAUGCCUUUGUAGGAGAACAUUAAAAUGUGCUGGUUAGUAGAUACACAUCACAUAAUUGCCCAAGUGCUUGUUUGUGGAACACCUGCUUAUAUUUCUAGGAGGGUCAAGGCUGUGCUUGGAAGAAGAGGCUGCAAUUAGGAUUUCUGCUCUAUCAUGAACCAAGAGUCUGGGGAAUCUCUUGAUCUCCCUGAACCCCAGUUUUCUUAUGUUCAAAAUGGUAAUAUUAAGACUACUUCACAGGGCUGGUGGUCAUUCAACUAACUGCUGCUAUUGUGUUUUGUGCCAAUUUAACCACAUUCUUUUGCCUUCUGACCAUAGCCAGGCAUUUUCUUGACAGUUGGUGAGAGUUAAAAACAAUAUCUAUGACCAGGAGAUCAGGUGAAGUAAUUGUUUCAAUACUUUGGCCUCGUAGAACUAGGUUCUAAUUCACUAAACUAACCCAUCAGCUGCCAUUUUAUCUCAUUAGUGAUGGAUAAAAUAUAUUCUCACUGCAAAUCCUAAAUUAUAUUCCUGAGAGAUUUUGGUUAAUUAGGAAAAAUCCAUAUAUACACAAAGGAAGAGGAAAGCUGGGUAAUGAACCUCUAGACCUAUCACCCGAAUUCAGCAGUUAUCAAGAUUUUGCCACACUUGCUUCAAAUCUCUCUCUCUCCUUUGAUCUCUCUCUUUCUUGGCUGAAUUAUUUAAAAGCAAACCCAGUCUUCACUUCCUUUCACUUCAAACUAUAAUUAUUUUCUAGCGAAGCCUUAUGCCAUUACCAUACCUAAUUGAAUUAAUCAUAAUUCUUUGCUAUCAUUCAAAUACCCAGUCUAUAUUAACUUUUUUUCUAUUGUCAAAUAUAUAUAUGUAUAUAUUAUCCUGCUGUCAAAAAAAUAUAUAUAUGUAUUUACAGUUAGGGUGUUCAAAUCAGGAUCCAAAUGAGAUCUAUACAUGGCAUUUUUAAUGGGAAGAUAAAGUAGAUAAAAAUUUCUACUGUCUAUUAUCCUGCACCAUAUAUUAUAGUUAUUUUGAAGUAACUUCAUGACAUAUGAACAACCCUUAUCAAUUAAGUUUAUCCAAAAGAGAAAAUUCCAUUUGCUUUAAGUAUUGAAAAUAUCAUUAUAGACUUAGAGAAAAAAAGUGUUAACAACAGUUUUUUGGGGGCGAUGAACCCAAAGGUGCAUUGUGUUUGCCUGUAUUUUCUCCAGUGAUAUCACUGUUUUUAGAAUCAGCAAUGUAAGAUAAUUGCUAUUAGAUAGCUGGACACACCAUUAGAGAGAGAGAGAGAGAUGAAAUUAAAACCAUGAAAUUUUUCUAUGGGCCUCUAGAAAUGCAAUUAUCUCUCCUGUGGAAAAGAAACACAGAAAAUUGGAGUCCUAUUUUGUGUUUGCCUACUGUGAAGAGGAGACACAUAAAUUGUAUCUAUUGAAUACAUGUAUUUAAAAGUUGAUACUUUGUGGGGUUUGGGGGGUAGCUAUUUAAAAUUUAUGUUAUUCAGAAAAACUAACUAGAUGGGAUUUCAAAAGUCUUCUCAGCUUUGCUUUGUAACCUAUUAUGACUAAUGAGUAUAUCCAUGGAAAUUGGCGUGAAUUGUCAUACUAUUCAUGAACAGCAUUGUAUUGGCUCUAGCAACUGAUAUAUGGAAAUGUUCAGAUACAGCACCUAUGCUUUACCAGAUGGGGCCUGCGGGAGCCUCCUGGUGGUGAGGAAUAAAAUAGAUUUCUGGAGAUCCUGUUGUGGCUCAGUGGGAUACAAAGCCAACUAGUAUCCAUUAGGAUGUGGGUUCAAUCCCUGGCCUUGCUCAGUGGGUUAAGGGUCUGGUGUUGCCAUAAGCUGUGGUGUAGGUUGCAGUUGCAGAUUGACCCUUAGCCUGGGAACCUCCAUCUGCCGAGAGCUAUGUAAGGAAUUUCCAGAGAUUCUUCAGAGUAGGGGAAAUCCUCACCACAUUGAGAGACAAAUGGGUGCUAUGAGGGCCAUCUGGGUUUCCAAUAAUGGGCAGAGGUUUCUUUGUCCCCAAAACAGAACAGAAAUUAGUGCCUGGGGAUGUGGUGAGAGUAGAGAAAGUACAUGGCAUUUUAACUCUUCCCUUUUUUUUUUUUUUUUUUUUUUUAAAUGACUACACCCAGUGUAUAUGGAAGUUCCCAGGCCAGGAAUUGAAUCCACACCAUAUGCUUUAACCCACUGCACUGGACUUGGGAUCAAACCCUCACCUCUGCAGCGACCAGAGUCACUGCAGUCCGAUGCUUAGUUUACUAUGCUCCGGUGGGAACUCCUUAACUCUUUCUUAAAGCAUUAGAAAAGCUGACACUCAAUCUCUUCCACAGGCCAAAGAGUAGCCUUGAGGUGUGA